rnacentral:rRNA from 1 species
UACGUAGGGUGCAAGCGUUAAUCGGAAUUACUGGGCGUAAAGCGUGCGCAGGCGGUUUUGUAAGUCUGUCGUGAAAUCCCCGGGCUCAACCUGGGAAUUGCGAUGGAGACUGCAAGGCUAGAAUCUGGCAGAGGGGGGUAGAAUUCCACGUGUAGCAGUGAAAUGCGUAGAGAUGUGGAGGAACACCAGUGGCGAAGGCGGCUGACUGGACAUGUAUUGACGCUGAGGUGCGAAAGCGUGGGGAGCAAACAGG